ACCUUCGGGCCUCUUGCCAUCAGAUGUGCCCAGAUGGGAUUAGCUUGUUGGUGAGGUAACGGCUCACCAAGGCGACGAUCCCUAGCUGGUCUGAGAGGAUGACCAGCCACACUGGAACUGAGACACGGUCCAGACUCCUACGGGAGGCAGCAGUGGGGAAUAUUGCACAAUGGGCGCAAGCCUGAUGCAGCCAUGCCGCGUGUAUGAAGAAGGCCUUCGGGUUGUAAAGUACUUUCAGCGGGGAGGAAGGUGUUGUGGUUAAUAACCGCAGCAAUUGACGUUACCCGCAGAAGAAGCACCGGCUAACUCCGUGCCAGCAGCCGCGGUAAUACGGAGGGUGCAAGCGUUAAUCGGAAUUACUGGGCGUAAAGCGCACGCAGGCGGUCUGUCAAGUCGGAUGUGAAAUCCCCGGGCUCAACCU
rnacentral:rRNA from 4 species